CUUGCUUAGUCUACAACAGGCCAGGGCCUCAUAGCUGAUCUCUCAUCUCUCACCAUCUCCCCGGCCGUCUCCUUCUCUGCUGAAAGGAGACAGAGGUCCAGGGAGGGGAGACUUCAGGGUGGCCCAGGUUGGACAGGGUUACCUUCCGGUUCCCAGUCCAGUGAGGGGAAGGCUGCUAAGGACCCCGGGCUAUGGGAGUUGUGUGCUCUUAUUUAGUGGAAGUGACCACCAGGCAUCAGGCACCUACAUGUGCCAGGCCUGGAGUCGUUACCACAUAUGAGCUGCUCCCCAGGUGUUGAAUGUCAUUGUCUCUGUCACACAGGCCAUCACAACCUCCCUGGGAGGUAGGGAGGCAUCUGCAGCCUGUCAAAACCAGCUUAUCUUGGUGCCUCGUACACCUGACAAGCCACAGCUGGACAGGGGAAGGCAAGCUGCUGACAAGACGUACUGGCCUUUCUGUUUUGAACACUGGCAAGACUGUAGCAAGGAUUCCAUCCAUCAGUCUACUCAUCCAUCAUCCACGCGUCUAUCCAUCUUUCUGUCCAUCCUCACCCAUCUACUCUUCCCAUCCAUCCAUCCAUCCAUCCACUCUUUCUAUUUCCGUCCACCCAUCCAUUGUCUUUAUCCAUCUACCUGUCCCUCCGCCCACCCUUCUACUCACC
rnacentral:lncRNA from 1 species